CCUACGGGGGGCAGCAGUGAGGAAUAUUGGUCAAUGGACGAGAGUCUGAACCAGCCAAGUAGCGUGAAGGAUGACUGCCCUAUGGGUUGUAAACUUCUUUUAUAUGGGAAUAAAAUGUUCCACGUGUGGGAUUUGGUCUGUACCAUAUGAAUAAGGAUCGGCUAAUUCCGUGCCAGCAGCCGCGGUAAUACGGAGGAUCCGAGCGUUAACCGGAUUUAUUGGGUUUAAAGGGAGCGUAGGUGGAUUGUUAAGUCAGUUGUGAAAGUUUGCGGCUCAACCGUAAAAUUGCAGUUGAAACUGGCAGUCUGGAGUGCAGUAGAGGUGGGCGGAAUUCGUGGUGUAGCGGUGAAAUGCUUAGAUAUCACGAAGAACUCCGAUUGCGAAGGCAGCUCACUGGACUGCAACUGACACUGAGGCUCGAAAGUGUGGGUAUCAAACAGGAUUAGAUACCCGGGUAGUC
rnacentral:rRNA from 1 species